UAGAUGUUCCUCUGGAUGCAAAUACUGCCAACCUUCAUGUAUAAAUACUCCUGUGUGACUUUUAUUUCCUCAUCAGAUCAUGGAGCACACUCGAGCCAUGCCAGUCAUAUCGUCCUCAACACAAACGUGUUGGCUGUUGGUGUUAGUGCUGGUGACAUGGGUAGAUUGUGCUUUUGAACACACCCAGCCCAGCUCCAUGACUGUAAAGCCAGGAGAGUCUCUGACAAUCACCUGCAAAGUGACUGGGGCAUCUAUUACAGAUAGCAGCUACUAUGCAACAGCAUGGAUUCGUCAGGCAGCAGGGAAACCCCUGGUUUGGAUCAACACACUCCUCUAUCAGAAAACCAAAUAUGAAAAUAAUGCCCUGAAGAACAAGUUCAGCAUCUCCAGAGACACCUCCAGUAACACAGUCACCCUGCAAGGCCAGAAUCUGCAGCCUGAAGACACAGCUGUGUACUACUGCGCUCGUUACCCACGGCAUUACAAUAAGCUACAAUGCUGUACCAAAACCUCCCACACAUAACACACCAGACAUAGAAAUCUAAAAAUAUUAAUAUAACAUAAAAAGUUGCCAACAUUUGCCAACACACAUUUUAAGAAAUUUUAAAUGUAAAUGUACCCCCCUCUACGACCCAUGGUAUUUAUCUUAUUCCAGUCCUUACUCAUUAACAGCAACUUUCAAAGUGAACUGCCCCAGUUAUGUUUAAAAGAAAAGACAAUGUACAAUUCAAUGAUAUUCCCAUGGUUUAAAUCCCGAGUAUAUAUGUCUCUCUUUAAAAGCAUUAACACAAGUGGACUGAAUCCAGUUAAGAGGAUAGAACACUGUAGAUCAUAAUGUUGUUAUUCAUUUAAAAUGUAAUAUGUA